rnacentral:rRNA from 1 species
UACGUAGGGUGCAAGCGUUGUCCGGAAUUAUUGGGCGUAAAGAGCUUGUAGGCGGUUUGUCGCGUCUGCUGUGAAAUUUCGGGGUUCAACCCCGAACUUGCAGUGGGUACGGGCAGACUAGAGUGUGGUAGGGGAGACUGGAAUUCCUGGUGUAGCGGUGAAAUGCGCAGAUAUCAGGAGGAACACCUAUUGCGAAGGCAGCUCGCUGGGACGUAACUGACGCUGAGACGCGAAAGCGUGGGGAGCAAACAGG